rnacentral:snRNA from 1 species
GUACUCACUUCAUUAAUACAAUGAACUGACAUUGGAACAAUGCAGAGAUGAUUAGCAUGGCCCCUGAACAAGAGUGACAUGUAAAUUCGUGAAGCAUCUUUAUUUAUA